CAAAGAAAACAAAAGAAUAUAAUAACUCCUUCCACCGAGCCACGCCUCAGAAAUUAGCUAGUCACCCGACAUGGCGGUUUGCGGAAGAAAUUCUCCUGCAGAAGUCAUCCUCUCAAUAAUUUUUGAAGGAGUAAUACGCAAAAAAGGUACUUUAUCUGACUUAAAUGGGCGUAACCCAAUUUACCUUUGAUGGCUGCAUAAUUAAAUGAACAAUUGAACGUCUAUCCUAAGUCUUAACUAAUUUACGAAAUUUAAAUUAUGUCAGAGAUAUACGAGACUAAACGAAGGCAAAAGCAAUUCCAACAGCUCCGAAGUAUUGCAAAGGAUCAAAAUUGAACGAUAUCUGGAUUCUACAUCCAAAAAAGAUAUAUGGAUUUCAAGUAAGCUUAAUAUGAUCAUGAAACAUUUGACAUCUGAAUUGAAACGCUCUUCCAUUGGUACUUCCUGUUUUUCCUCAAAUCCGACGAUUCGUUCUAUUUGGAUAGUAGAAAUGUCGGAACAUUAACGAGCGUAGGAAAUGGAAACGUUUACCUCUUCAGUCUUAUAUUUCAAUGAGAUUUUAUCAUGGCGACGAAAAUAUUUCUAUUGUUCAGCAUUAUUGAAGCAUAUUGAAGCAGAAGAGUGUUUCAAGAGGAGGUUGAAAAUUCUAGCAAAGGAAGGAACAUCGUUAGCUAUUGUUUAUGUAUGCAUUAUGUGAUUGUGAAUACCUAGGAAGAGGAAAAAGAAGAAAAUACAUACGUGCUUGACGACGAAGUUUCGAAAGACCAAUAUGGCGCUGUUUUAUAAAGCUUGGAACAAUGGUACGAAAUAAUGGGAGGGAUUUAUCUUCUUCAAAGCAUCUAAUCGUGAGCAGCUUUAGCUAGAGGGUAUAAGCGAUUGUGCUCAAAAAGAUUUGUCGAUGAGCCGUCCGAUGUUCCACGCGGGGUAAGGAUCACAGGGGAAUUAAAAUGAAACUGAGGGAGGUUUAUCAUACAAAUUAAUUGAACAGACAGGGACGAUCAAAAGAUUCAUCUUUUUUCAAAGUAAUACCAUUAGCAGGGGAAUAAUUUUAAAUUAUACGUGAAAUAGAAAGUCCACGUAACGUCAUUGUUAUUCCAUCGAUUUAAAUUAAAUAACCAUUCGAUAUAAUUAAAAAGGGAGAAGUACUGAAUUCUAUAUUCACGACAUAUACAUAAAAAAUAUUCGUAAUACUUAAUUAGAGUUUUUCUUAAAUAUUGAAAUUUGGACGAAAUAAUUUGGUGCGUAGCUCUAAUUACCCAUUUAGUAUGAUGUGAAAGAAAUUUCGUGAUAGAGGAUGUCCGUAUAUGUUCUCCCAUAUUUAUCGUCAAGUACUUUCGUUUAAACCUUUCUCCAUUAUCUCUCUCCAUGUACGUGUGCUCUUUUGCGCGUCUAUCGGCAUCGGGUCGAGUGGUUUGCAUUGAAUGUGCGUGUGUACGUAGAACGCCUGCCUUAUUUUGAUAAGUAAAGUAUUUUUUCAUUUGUUUUCCUGUCAUCAGACCAAGCAAACAAUAGGAGAUUGGCUGUAUAAUUUAAUAAGCUAUUUAGAUUCAUUGUUUAAUAAUAAGCUUACUUAUUUUGCAGAGCAAUAGCCUACAUUCUUAGGAACCAAUUGAUUUGGAACAUAAUAUACGAAAUAUUAGGUAAUUAGAAGUGUAAUGGUAUUAUUGUUUUGCAUUCUCCAAUAGGGAGUAACUUUCCGGAACAAUUUAUCCGUUCAUAUGGAAGAAUCAUACCAGCCGUGGUAUAUCGAUCCGCUAAAGACAAAUGAAAUCAUACAGCUAAAUAGAUAAUUUAAUUAUACCGCUAAUCGUAUUAUCGCAUUGUCUGCUUGGUUUGAUGAGGGGAGAACUAAUGAAAAAAUACCAUCCUUGUUUUCAAAAUAAGAGAGGAGAUGUACGCAAUCACGCGCACUCAUUUCCAUCCACUUGACUGGAGCACGUAAACGCGCAUGUGCACGGAGAAGGGUAGAAUAAAUCGUUCAAUAUGAUGGUGCUGAACGAUAGGUAGGAGAGAAGGUAUUCCUCAACGAGCAAAUCGUUAAAUGCCGAUCAAUACUUGUUAACAGGGGAAUUUGUAGACAUGGAGGAUCAUAUAUUUUUGCAAAAAAAUCAAAAUUUUGUUUUUUAUAAUUUUUUACGAUGUCUAUGAUAAAUGUUGGAUCAAUUCUUUUCCAACAUUUUCAUCCCCUCGCAUUAUGUGUGAAGUCUUUUCGUUCUUUUGUUGGAUGUAAUAACUAUCACUCCUAUCGUUUUCUUCCCGAUUAGUAUUUCUUUUUUCUAACAUGUCUGUAUUAAUGUUUGUCUUUAAUCCAAAAUUCCCCUUCGAUAAUACUUAUGGCACGAAACUUACUCGUGUUUGGAAAUUUUGCCAUUCUCUUAAUGUAAAAGAAAUAAGUAAGUAAACGGAUUGGUAGUCUCUAAUUGUAUAUUACGAAAUCACGAAAGGAUAUAAGCCGAAAGAAUAUUACUUCUAUGAUUGUUUGACUUAUUAGUCCAGUUAUCUAUCUAUUCCACUAGAUGUUUCGAUACGAAACAAGUACAGCUUCGCAAAUCUCUCCUGUGUUUCAUGAUUGCUUGUUCACUCCAUCAAAUAUCACUGCAUCGUUCGAGGCGUACUCGCGUACCAUUGCAGACAAGUCCUUAUCGCUCUCUUUAAGUGGUUUAGAGAAGCUCUCAGACCGUUAUGAACGUACUUCUUUUUCGUAAAAUCGACUGAUAUACUUUUCAUAUUACUUGUUUAUUUGACCAUUUCUUGAUUAACUAACUGAGGGGUUCUCUCGGAGGGGAAAUACGGUAAAGAGGGGAAGGUAAUAUUAGGAAACCAUAUAUGUGACGUAAAAUAAUAUAUAAUAAUAAUAAAAUGAUAAAUUAAUAAAUAUAUAAAUAAUAAAUAAAAAAUAACAAAAUAAUAAUAAUGAAAUAAUAAAUUAAUAAAUAUAUAAAUAAUAAAUAAAAAAUAAAAAAAUAAUAAAAAAUAAUAUAAUAAUAAUAAAUAAUAAAUAAUAAUAAUGAAAUAAUAAAUUAAUAAAUAUAUAAAUAAUAAAUAAUAAAUAAUAAUAAUAAAAUAAUAAAAAACCAUAAAAUAUAAUUACGUAACUAUAGGAGAGGGGAAAUUUUUUAUCCCCAUGCGUUCUAGUUAUAGAAUUAGAAUCUAGAAAGGUCUAUUAAUGUUAAGACAUGGGAUUUUUAUCCCAACUGACAUGGCGCACGCGAAAUAAACCGUAGUGGUCAUAUGUGUCAAACAGUUUUACAAGUAGUAAUAUCUAGUGAAACACGAUUGACUAGUAGAAAAUUUCAUUUCUAUAUUAUAGUCAUAAAAGUGAUUCUCUGGAUUCAUAGCAUUUUAAUUAUUUUGUUGCAUUUAGGAGUAGUUGCUGUAGCAUUUAGAAGGCUUCAUCUGAUUUAUUUUCGGUAGUUAUACGAUUGAAAUGAACGAAUGACUUUAAUAAGUCUUAACGAAUCUACGAAUUUGGAUCUAUUUUAGAGAUAUACGAAUUAAAUUAUAGGCGAAAGUAUUAUGAUAUAUAUUAUGAAGUUAAGAUACUCAUUAAGCACGUAUAGUAUGUGUAUAUAAAUGUAGUAUUACAGUUAACUGAAAUAAACUUCCAUAUACUCUCUAUUUAAGGAAUUAUACUGCUAUGUAUUUGUAUUUAUAAGAAAAUGUUUGUUCCUUACUUCGAUAUAUUACGAUAAACUUAAAUUCAAUGUACAUUUUCUUCGAAGAAAUUAUUUACGAUAAGAAAAUUAACUACUUUCAUUUCCGUUUAAAGUUUUUCGACAUGUAUCUACUUAGCGAAAUUGUAAUCCAAUCUAGUUUCCAAUAAAUAAACAUAUUAAUUAAACAUGUAA